GAGCUUGUGGAGAUGUGAUAUCCUCUCCUAAUCAUGGAGAGGAAUAGAAAGUGUAAUCACUCGAUCAAAUGGACAGAAUUGAACGCAGUGGACUGCCUUUAGGAGUUCAAGAAUUCCAGUUUGACUUGAUAUUGUACAAAGGAUUAGAAUCUCAGUCAGCUCACAAGGGUAGCAGCUUUCCGAAUAGGUUUUUGGCCCAUCAGCAAUGGGUUCACUAGCAACUCUGGUUUGGUUGUUUUCCUGGAUGCUUUGGCAGAUUACUCAUCUACCUCUUUUUUUGGCAGGCUUUCCUUAGAUGGAAAGCUUGUUGUAACUGUUUA
rnacentral:misc_RNA from 1 species